CCCAAGCUGGUUCUAUCUGCACAGGGACGUGGGGGUCAAGCUCAUCUGGGUGGCUGCCAUUGGGGACUGGCUCAACCUGGUCCUGAAGUGGGUUCUAUUUGGAGAGAGACACUAUUUGUGGGUCCAGGAUACCCACUUCUAUGGGACAGACACAGCCCCUGCUUAAAACAAUUCCACAUCACCUGUGAAACUGGACCAGGUCGGCAAUGCCAUAGAUAGACCGAUGUGUGCCAGAGUAUAGCAAUACAUAUCACUCAACAUACCUCAAGAAUAUAGUAGUAUUGGGAAGUGGAAGCAAAAUUGUCUUAGUAUGUAAUAAAUGAAUGAUCAUAGGGCCAUAACAACCUUUGCACUUUAGUAUUGAUUCCCAUUCAGCAGGGUAAAUACAUAGAGAAUAAUCUUAUCUGGAAAAUGAAUUCAGUUGGAAGUGUACAGUGAAUUCCAGUGGAGGCUGGUGACUUGGAAAAUUGAGGAGGAUGGGAGACCCACGUAGAUGUCAAAGUGUGUUUCAAAAAUCGUCAAGAGUAAUAAUUUUCACUUAAAGCAUUUAACAAAGACAUUUAUAGUACAAUAUAGGGAAUGGGAACGAGAGGGCUACUUACACAGUGUUUGGAAGGGAUCACAGCAGUGAUUGAAUGAGGGUAUGAGGUAUGAGUUAAGGUGUUCGGAGGCUUGACUUCAGUGCAGGACAGGAUUUGUCUAGGAAGACAAAAAACAAUAACACAACACACUACACAGUUAGACAAAAGAAGAAUGAGUAGUGUCCAAGCAAGGACUAAAAUCAUUGUUGUGUAAUAAUGUGAUUGUGUAUGUGAUUGACUCUAAAUACAGUAAUGAGAGAAAAUUGAUAGGGGUACGCACUGUGCUUGAAGAGGAAACAUUCAAUGUGCCAGUGGAUGAGCGGGCACAUGAGACAUGGCUUCAGUUCAUGUCAGGAGAGAGUUGACAAUGGUAGUAGAGUGGACUGGUCAUCACCUCUUAAUCAGGGAACAGGAGGGGACUUAGCUUGAAAGACAAAUAGCAGAUACAUUCCAUUACAGCUGCGCCAUCGAAGGUUUGAACAAGUUUCUCCCUGAAGUUAAACAUAGAGUUCACAUCUUGCCCACUUGACACAUCAAAGUAGCCCAAGAAACGUUCCUGAAUAAAGCCCUGAUCAUCCACAUACCUGACGAUAACUGACAACUGCAAGCAGACUGGUGGCACCAUAGGUCCCAGAGCGGGGAAAAUUGUUACACCCUGGGGCCUGGAGUUUUUCCUUAUCUGUUAACCUAACCAGGAAAACGCUGGACCCUAUAAGGUGGGGCUGUGGAUGCUGCUGUGUACAGUGGAGCUGCUGGUGUGCAUGUCCAGAGUCUACAUGGCUUUCCACUUUCCCCACCACGUCAU